AGUGAACGCUGGCGGUAGGCCUAACACAUGCAAGUCGAACGGCAGCACAGUAAGAGCUUGCUCUUACGGGUGGCGAGUGGCGGACGGGUGAGGAAUACAUCGGAAUCUACUUUUUCGUGGGGGAUAACGUAGGGAAACUUACGCUAAUACCGCAUACGACCUACGGGUGAAAGCAGGGGAUCUUCGGACCUUGCGCGAUUGAAUGAGCCGAUGUCGGAUUAGCUAGUUGGCGGGGUAAAGGCCCACCAAGGCAACGAUCCGUAGCUGGUCUGAGAGGAUGAUGGGCGAGCAGGGAAGUGAGACACGGUACAGGCUCCGACGGGGGGCAGCAGUAGGGAAGCGGCUGCAAUGGGCGAAAGCGUGACGGAGCAACGCCGAGUGAGUGAUGAAGGACUUCGGAUCGUAAAACUCGGUUAGUAGGGAAGAAAAAAUGUGUAAGCAACUAUGCACGUCUUGACGGUACCGAAACAGAAAGCCACGGCUAACUACGUG
rnacentral:rRNA from 1 species